UACGAAGGGGGCUAGCGUUGCUCGGAAUCACUGGGCGUAAAGCGCACGUAGGCGGAUUGUUAAGUCAGGGGUGAAAUCCUGGAGCUCAACUCCAGGACUGCCUUUGAUACUGGCGAUCUUGAGUCCGGGAGAGGUGAGUGGAACUGCGAGUGUAGAGGUGAAAUUCGUAGAUAUUCGCAAGAACACCAGUGGCGAAGGCGGCUCACUGGCCCGGUACUGACGCUGAGGUGCGAAAGCGUGGGGAACAAACAGG
rnacentral:rRNA from 1 species